CCUACGGGGGGCAGCAGUGAGGAAUAUUGGUCAAUGGACGAGAGUCUGAACCAGCCAAGUAGCGUGAAGGAUGACUGCCCUAUGGGUUGUAAACUUCUUUUAUAAAGGAAUAAAACGAGGCACGUGUGCCUUUUUGCAUGUACUUUAUGAAUAAGGAUCGGCUAACUCCGUGCCAGCAGCCGCGGUAAUAAGGAGGAUCCGAGCGUUAUCCGGAUUUAGUGGGGUUAAAGGGAGCGUAGAUGGGUUGUUAAGUCAGUUGUGAAAGUUUGCGGCUCAACCGUAAAAUUGCAAUUGAUACUGGCAGUCUUGAGUACAGUUGAGGUAGGCGGAAUUCGUGGUGUAGCGGUGAAAUGCUUAGAUAUCACGAAGAACCCCGAUUGCGAAGGCAGCUUACUAAACUGUGACUGACAUUGAUGCUCGAAAGUGUGGGUAUCAAACAGGAUUAGAUACCCGGGUAGUC
rnacentral:rRNA from 1 species